GUCUACGGCCAUACCACCCUGAACGUGCCCGAUCUCGUCUGAUCUCGGAAGCUAAGCAGGGUCGGGCCUGGUUAGUACUGGUUAGUACUUGGAUGGGAGAAUUAUAGCAUAUGGGAAACA
rnacentral:rRNA from 1 species